UACGUAGGGUGCGAGCGUUAAUCGGAAUUACUGGGCGUAAAGCGUGCGCAGGCGGUUCGAUGUGUCGGCGGUGAAAGCCCCGGGCUUAACCUGGGAAUGGCCGUCGAAACUGGCGAACUGGAGUGUGGCAGAGGGGGGUGGAAUUCCGCGUGUAGCAGUGAAAUGCGUAGAGAUGCGGAGGAACACCGAUGGCGAAGGCAGCCCCCUGGGCUGACACUGACGCUCAGGCACGAAAGCGUGGGGAGCAAACAGG
rnacentral:rRNA from 1 species